rnacentral:rRNA from 1 species
AUUGAACGCUGGCGGCAGGCCUAACACAUGCAAGUCGAGCGGAUGAAGGGAGCUUGCUCCUGGAUUCAGCGGCGGACGGGUGAGUAAUGCCUAGGAAUCUGCCUGGUAGUGGGGGAUAACGUCCGGAAACGGGCGCUAAUACCGCAUACGUCCUGAGGGAGAAAGUGGGGGAUCUUCGGUCCUCACGCUAUCAGAUGAGCCUAGGUCGGAUUAGCUAGUUGGUGGGGUAAAGGCCUACCAAGGCGACGAUCCGUAACUGGUCUGAGAGGAUGAUCAGUCACACUGUAACUGAGACACAGUCCAGACUCCGGCGGGAGGCCGCAGUGGGGAAUAUUGGACAAUGGAGGAAAGCCUGAUCCAGCCAUGCCGCGUGUGUGAAGAAGGUCUUCGGAUUGUAAAGCACUGUAAGUUUUGAGGAAGGGCAGUAAGUUAAUACCUUACUGUUUUGACGUUACCAACAGAAUAAGCACCGGCUAACUUCGUG